AAAUACGAAGCAAAUGAAUAGAAUGUUUUGUACAAGGAAAGAAUCACUACUAUUAAGUUAAUAAUUUUACAGACAACCAGUCAUGAUUAUGCUCGUCUUCUUGUGCAAAUCAUGGUCUUUAAGGAAUCCAACAUACAGGUUUGUCCUGCUCGUGUCACUCUCGGGAAGUGUCGCGUUUCGACCACCUUCUAACAUGUUCUUCACAAAUUCAUCGAACUUGCGACAAUUCUCAGCUUCGAGCAAUCGUUUAUUCAUUCUUAGAUACGUAAAUGCAGCGAGUCCAUUUCCAGAAUCUGAAUGGCUAGUUCCCAACAUCUGUGAAUAUGCGCCAGAAUCAUACCUCUCCAGAGCAUUUUCUCCAGCAAGUUGUGUUCCAACAGAUUUGGUAGCCAUCUUCACUUGUCAAACUAGACCUUCAGGCGAGCAAUUUGCCCUCUCUGGAUGUUCUUUGUCUCUCAUUUCCAUACACGUAAAAUUGAGCACCACUCCACAUUUACUUAACAUUCAUGCUAUUGCCGAAUAACCAUCUCGAUUCCUAGUAUUGUAGUAUCCAGCAAUUAAUUCAGCUGCAUGCGAUCUUGUUUUGUAGUGCCAAUGAAUUCCAGCUACUUUUCCUGAUAGUAUAGCUCUGGUUCCUUCGAAUAUUCUUUGUGCAGCUGACAGGAUUUUAUCUCCGUGCUCGACUAGCUUACCAGAAUACCAUUCUAAGAAAAAAUGUCCAUAUUCAGUGUUCCAUGUGCCUUCCCUUUGGAAAAACCGUUUCUUCCGGUAAUUGGUUGUAUUGGCCUGCGUCGUGAGGGCCUCCGAGUCCCCAGUCAGUGUUCCCAAUCGCCUCAGCCGCAGCUGCUAAUGAGGCUCUCAUGUACUGUUUUUACAUAACAAAUGUUCAACUUAAUUCAUGUUUGGUCGAUGAUGAACAAGAUUUUAGCUACUCAUUUUUGAUAAUUAUGUACCUUGUCGUAGCAUUGGAAUUCACCAAUUCUUGGAAAUCUCCAAGUGCCAUUGCUUUCUGGAUAGGAUGGAUAUCUUAGCUCUCCACAAGGCCCCAACCCCACUUGAAUUUCCUGAAAUAAUAGCAACCAACUUAAAACUACUACGAUAAUGAGCAUAAACUAUCCAAGAAUGUUAAAAAUGGCUUACCACUUGAAGUUGGUGAUAUUAACUUCCCAAGAUUGCCCAAGAACAAAUAAACUUACAAUGUGAAAAUUCCAAACCACUUGAAGAUGAAAAAGAAAAGAUAAGAAAAUUGGGGAAGAAAGGAUUUUCAAUAUAUAUGAGGAACAAUGGAUUGGAUUACUUGAACAAGUCUCAAGUUAAUCCCCAAGAAAGAAAAAAUAGCUUUGAAUUUAUACCCAAGAAGAACAACCUCUUUCUUGUUAUAUUCUCUACCAAGCUUUCUCUCCUAUUUUCUCUCUAAAAAUCGGAUGUCAUAAUGAAAGGUAAACUCAGCUAUAUAUAUAGCUGAAUCGGGUGCCUAGGCUCCAAGUUUCUGCCCAGUCGAGAAACUGGGCGCCUAAGCAACCAGUUUCUGCUUUAGCAAAAUCGGGGGGGCGCCUAGGCGCCUCCUUGCUACUUCAUUUCUUACAAUUCUCCACCUCGUACAUCAUUUGAUGGACCUCAAAUUUUGGACGAACACAAGAAGAAGCAGCAAGCGCCAAACUCGGCUGCACCAUUCAAACCAUGGUUGCCUACGUACCCAAAACUCGGGAUCAAGUCUCCGUAGUUCACCUCCACCUUUAUAUACUCUUCACCUCAUUUCAACCCCGCCCUGAAGGGCCAUACCCACUCGGGCAUAUCAGCACGGACUAAUGUGAAGCAAGUCCAAGCAAUGCUGAAACUUGCUACCCGUUACCACUUUGGUUAACAUGUCUGUUAGGUUCUUAUUUGUGUGUACCUUCAAGAGAGAAAUAUCACCUUCCUCUAUGACAUCAAGCACAAAAUGAUACCUGACGUCGAUAUGCUUGGUUCGAGCAUGAUGAACCUGAUUUUUAGCCAAGUGAAUCGCACUCUGGCUAUCACAACACAAGUCCACACAAUCCUGCUCAAUCCCUAAAUCAUCUAGAAGACACCUCAACCACAAUGCUUCCUUCACUCCCUCUGCCAUGCCCAUAUACUCGGCCUCUGUAGUAGAAAGAGCCACUAUAGCCUGUAACAUCGAUCGCCAACUAACUGGGGCACCAUGUAUGCAAAACACAUAUCUAGUAGUAGAUCGUCGUCUAUCUAGAUCACCUGCAUAAUUCGAGUCUACAAACCCACUUAUAUGACAUGCAUCUCCACCAAAACAUAAACCCGUAUCGGCGGUACCUUUUAAAUACCUCAGGAUCCACUUCACAGCUUCCCAGUGUGCCUUCCCCGAAUUCGCCAUGAAUCUACUGACCAUACUAACCGCCUGUGAAAUAUCUGAGCGUGUACACACCAUGGCAUACAUCAAACUGCCAACUGCACUAGCAUAAGGUACACAAUCCAUGGGUACCUUUUCUUCCGGUAUAGUAGGAAAUUGUUUACCAGAGAGCCUGAAAUGUGGAGCCAAUGGAAUCACCACCAACUUUGCACCUUGCAACCCGAACCUAGUAAUAACCCGCUCAAUGUAGCCUUUCUGACUCAAGAACAUUCGUCGGUUCGCCCUCUCUCUUCUAAUCUCCAUACCCAGUAUUUUCCUAGCAGCCCCCAUAUCCUUAAUCUCAAACUCUUUACCAAGUUGAGAUUUCAACCUAUCUAUCUCCACCUUGCUUUUCGAAGUGAUAAGCAUGUCAUCCACAUACAAAAGAAGAUAGAUAUAGUUACCUCCCCGGAGUUUUCGAAUAUAAACACAACAGUUAUACUCAUUUCUGGAGGAACCAUGCUUUAGCAUGAAGGAGUCAAAUCGCUUGUACCACUGCCGAGGAAAUUGUUUCAAUCCAUAUAGUGAUUUUCUCAAGUGACAUACCUGACGUUCCUUAUCCUCAACCUUGUAGCCCUCAGGUUGAUGCAUAUAGAUUUCCUCAUCCAUGUCCCCGUGCAAGAAGGCGGUUUUGACAUCGAGUUGUUCCAGCUCAAGAUCAUGAUGAGCAACAAUACUCAAUAGCACUCGAAUGGAAGUGUGCUUGACCACCGGAGAAAAGAUCUCAUUGUAGUCAACUCCCUCUCUUUGUGCAAACCCCUUAGCCACUAACCUUGCUUUGAAUCUUGUACCACCGAGCUUGGUAGGAUCCUCUUUCUUUUUGUACAACACUUGCAACCAAUAGCUUUCUUACCUAUGGGCAAUGGGACAACCUCCCAUGUUUGGUUCUUGUGAAGUGAUUCCAUCUCUUCUUCCAUCGCUGCCAACCAACUCUCACUAUUGUUGUUUAAAAUAGCUUCCUUGAAAGUGGCAGGCUCAUUAUCCUCCACCGAGAGUACAUACUCAACCAAAUUUGUCUGCCCAUAGUGCCUCAAAGGCUCGUCUGACCCCAACUUUAGAACUUGCUUGUAAGUACGUCAUGGCCUAGAGGAAGUCAAGUUAUCUGCAAGCUGUUGUUGUUGCUGUGCCUGUACAUUCUCUUGCUGAACCGCCUCUUGUUCAAGCUCAUCAUCACUCUCAUCUUGAGUGUCUGCAUGAUGCUCCUCUUGAACAUGACUAGAACCAGGUUGAUCUCUAGGUUCUAUGUCAACAACUUGAGACUUUGUAGUCUCAACAUCAUCACCACCGGGCACUGUAGCUUUCAACGAAGCUAUCAAAAGUAACAUCUCUACUGAUUAUGAACUUAGAAUCCUCUACACACCAUAGAUGAUAGCCUUUUACACUUGCCGCAUACCUUAAGAAUAUAGCCUUCUUGGCCCUCGCAUCAAGCUUUUCCUCGUUGACGUGAUAGUAGGCUGUACAUCCGAAUAUUAUGAGUUUCUCAUAAUCUGCAUGUUGUCCUGUCAAUACCCUCUAAGGUACAUCUCCAUCUAACUUUGAAUAUGGAGAUCGGUUCACUAUGUAGCAAGCAUUUGCAACCGACUCUGCCCAUCACUCUGCCCAAACCAGCAUUGGAUCGCAUACACAUCGAUUUCUCUCGAAAUGUGCGAUUCGGUCUUUCUGGGACUCCAUUUUGUUGCAGUGUAUUUCUAACUGUCCAGUGUCUCGCAAUGCCUUCCUCAACACAGAACUCCUUGAAAGCACCAUCUGUAUACUCAGUACCGUUAUCAGAUCACAGUGUCUUCAAUUUCUUUCUUGUUCUGUUUUCAACCAUUGCUUUCCACUUCUUGAAAGUGUCGAAUAUGGUAAGAGCAUCCAGAGCCAAGAAUCCACUUACCGGAGAUUUCUUCAUCAUAAGUGAUGGUGUAGCACUCAUCGCUUUCCCCUCCUUCCGAGGCAUAGCUAACAUCUUGCUUGAUUUGCACCUUUCCGUUGUUGUUGUUCUUAUUGUUCUUCUUCCAACCUCUUUUGUUAGUACAAUUCGCCUUGAAAUGCCCAAGCUCGCCGCAUUUGAAACAAGGCCUUUCCGCAAGAGGUCUAGAACUCAAUCUAGAUUUUUCUCCCUUGCCUUUUGGUCGCACAUUGCUUCUACCUCUUACAAACAAUCCUUGAGCUUGCUCCUUGUUACCAAUGAUAGACAUGCCACUAGUUGCAAUCUUUCGAAGAUCGUCCGCUAGAAGUGACGUUCUAGUCUCCUCCAUCACAAGUUUAUCACCCACAAGCAUCAAUGUUUGUACUAGGUUCUCGUAAGACUUUGGCAACGAAAGAAGUAGUAGAAGUGCUUGAUCCUCAUCAUCUACUUUCACAUCAAUGUCCUUCAAGUCCGAUAUGCACCUAUCAAACUUGUUGACGUACUCCCGGAUUGGUGUACCUUCAUCCAUCUUGCAAGUAUACAAUUUGGAUUUCAAAUAGAUCCGAUUUGUUAGAGUCUUCGUCAUGAAAUUCGCCUCCAACUUUGUCCACACCUCCGUCGCUGUUUCCUCACCAUCAACAAGAAAGCAACAUCUCUUUCAAGGCAUAGAAUGAUAGAUGCUCGUGCCUCAAGAUCUAGAUCUUCCCAAUCCUUAUCAGACAUAUCUAUGUGCUUCUUCUCCUUUCCCGUCAAUGCCUUGUGCAACUUUUGAGAAAUUAACAAAUUUCUCAUUUGCAUUCUCCAAUAUGAGAAGUCAUUCUUCCCAUUGAAUUUCUCUAUCUCACACUUCCCAAUCUUCACCAUUCCUCUAGUAGACAUGAUUUAUCUACUUGUUUACCGAAAAUAGAACAACAAAGUUCACUUGGGAAUUUUCACAAACACCUUGUGUGCACAACAAAGUUCAAGCCACCCACCAAAAAUCGGAGCUUAACCACGCUGAUUUAAGAAGAUGCUCUGAUACCAAAUUGUUGGUAAAAUUAACUUCCCAAGAUUGCCCAAGAACAAAUAAACUUGCAAUGUGAAAAUCCCAAACCACUUGAAGAUGAAAAAGAAAAGAUAAGAAAAUUGGGGAAGAAAUGAUUUUCAAUAUAUAUGAGGAACAAUGGAUUAGAUUACUUGAACAAGUCUCAAGUUAAUCCCCAAGAAAGAAAAAAUAGCUUUGAAUUUAUACUCAAGAAGAACAACCUCUUUCUUGUUAUAUUCUCUACCAAGCUUUCUCUCUAAAAAUCGGAUGUCAUAAUGAAAGGAAAACUCAGCUAUAUAUAUAGCUGAAUCGGGGGCCUAGGCGCCAAGUUUCUGCCCAGUCCAGAAACUAGGCGCCGCGCCGACCUAGGCGCCUCCCUGCUACUCCAUUUCUCACAGUUCAUUUCUUCAAGCACCCAUGGAGGUAGAGGGAUGCUGCAAAAAUACAACAUAAACUAUAUAUUAAGUCACAAAAAUGGAUGUCACACUUAACAUUUCUAAAUAAUAUUAUGGUUUCUACUUUACCAAAAUCUACUAAAAAUCUGAAUUUUAUCUGAACCAGACGAGGACUAUAUAUACAUAUACAUAUACAUAUACAAGUAGAAGAGGGGAUUAUGCGUAAUUUAAGUGAAAAAAAUGGCAUUGCACUCUUUGCAUGGAGCUUGCACAACAACGGCUUAGUUUGAGAAAAACUUAAUAUAGUUGAAAACUCGUCACGAGUUUUUAAACCUCGAUUAUCUUUUAUAUUGAUAAACGAAAUUGAGGAGCGAAGUGCAAAAGCCAUGGUUUUGUGAAAGAAAAGGGAGAUUGGAUUGAUGAAUGAAGACUGCGAAAUUAUGCGUAUAUUUAUAAAAAUAAGUUCUACGUUGGAUUUAUAAAGUAGGCAAUUUCGGUGGGCUCUGCUCUUGUUUGAUAUUUUGUCAUAUUUUGAAGGAAAUUUUUAAAGAGGAAAGGUGCAAAAUAUCAAAAAACUUGGUAUUUUGAAGGAAAUUUCAUGUCAAUGUCUCAGAGGGGUGACGGAUUAACUACGUAAUGAUCCUAACUUCUCGAACAAUAAUGUAAAAUUAUUAAAAAAAUUAGUAAGAUUAUACGGGAGAAUUAAUGUUACAAGAUUAUACGCGGAACCAAUGUGAAUAAAAAAAUUUCAAAAUAUGGUCUCUAUCCUCUAAUGUUAGUAGUCGGUAAGAAAUUAGGUAAAAAAAAAUUCGAUACACGUAGCAUUCUCCUAAAAAAUUUAGAUUUAUGUGGAAGUGUCAAAAAUUCAGUUUAAAUAUUCACAUAAUCACGGGUUUUUGGCAUGACUUUGUACCAAUUAUUUGAUAUAAAUCGAUAUUUUUUGAACGUAAUGAUUUGUCAGAUUUUUUUUCCCGAAUUUCUAGAGUGGAUAAGGGAUUUUUCUUUUUCUUUUUUUUUUUUUGGCGUGGGGGGUUCAUGUUGGUUAUUUUUUUCUUGUAUAUAUUUACUUUUUAUAUUUAUUCUUUUUGCAUCUUUAAAUUAAACACUGAACUUUACACUUUAAAAUUCAUUUUUCCCAAAAAUUAUUUUCAACAUGUACUUCUAGUAUAAUAAUAUUGCAUUUAAAUUUAAUUUUUUUUUCAAUAUUUUAAUCACAUAUACUUAAAAAAAAAAUCACUUUUAACAAAAUCUAUUCUUAAAAAUUGAGCUCAAACUAGGCUUAAAAUACCUGUUUUGCCCCAUUAAAUUUGAAAAAUACAUUUUAAAAUAGUAGAUUGAAAAAGAAUGUGUAAUUAAAAAAAAUUUUGACUUUACGAGUAAUAUUAUUUUAUUGAGCAAUAUAUAAUUGAAAAAAAGAAAGAAAAAUGUAUUUCGAGAAACAAGCACUUAACAUCUACUUUGAAAACCGUCUAAAAGAACACUUUGAUGUAAAAAGUGAAAGUUGGGAAUGCAAAAAAGUUGAGAAUUGUAUGUAAUUUACCAUUUUAGUGGGCUGUUAAGUUUUUCAAAUUUUAAAGCCUAGAUAAAGGAUCACAUUUGGUGGUAAAACUUAAUCACAAGAAUAAUUUACCAAAUAAUUAUUUUAUUUUCAAAAUAAUCGACAUUACUCGAUGAUGCAUGAAUGACCUUCUAUAUCUUUCCACCUAUAUCAAAGAGAGAGGCCUCUGAUAUAGGCCCUGUAUCACAAGGGGCCGAGCCACCUAUCAGAGGGGCUAGCUCGGCCCCCUGUGAUAUAGGGCCCUCAAAGAGAAAUGUCCUUGGUAAUUGAAAAUAUCUAUAUCAAAACCUAUCUAUUUAAUUGAAAAUAUCUCAUUCAAUUUUUCUACGCGUCAACUUAAAAUUUUCAAAAUUUCUACGCGUCAACUUGGUGUACCACAAGUGGGCCGCUUUCCUUUGGCCACCAGUGGCGGAUCCAGCACCCGGCGAGCCCCCGGGGCCGCCCGUGUUGGAUCGCCGGAGCUCAAUUUUUUUUGCUGUCCAAGUAUUUAUUUGUUUAGAUAUAUUUCUGUGAUUUCCCCCAAUUCACACCAACUCCUUGUUGUUCAACUGGUUAGAGCGCCACAGUGGUGAAAAGGGCGUCCAAGGUUCGAUUCUCUAUUGUUGCAUUCCCUUUUUAAUGAUUUUAGUAUAAUAUUUUUCACCAUUUUGGAGCAAAUAGGCAUUAAAAUUGGUGCAAAAGGAAGAUUCGAACCUGUGAUCUCCAUUAGAAUAAUGGACAAUUUGACCACCAUGGUAUUUAAUGGAUGUUGACAAUGCAAAGCAACAAAAGUCUAUAUAUUCUUUUAUCCCAAUGAUAUACACCCUCCUUUUUAGAAAAAUAAAAUUCAACCAUACAGUUAAAUUAUUAAAAUAAUCAAUUUUUUUUUUAUUAAACUGAAAUUAUUAGUGGAUCGAAUCAAGAAAGUAAAUAAUUGGACAAAUUUUCAAAUUUCAAAUUGUUACUCAAUAAACAUUAUUACAAUGGUAGAUAACGUACACUCACACUUAUAAUUCAAACUACGAUAUAAGCCCUAAUUUGACCCCCAUUAAAACUUAUCAAUUUAAAUUAAAAAAAUUUCUUUUCUAUUUUCAACCACACAAUUUUCAAUAAAAUAAUAUUACACGUAAAUCGAAAACUUUUCAUUCUUUUACAACUAUCAAUUUUUAAUUUUUUCAGAAAAACAUUAUUUCCCCAUUAUAAAUCCAAAUAAUGGGGGCCAAACGGGGGCUAAGUAAUUUCAACUCACGGCAUUGGUUAUUAUUGCGACUGUCGACAGUCAACGGCCGCCCGUGCUCAAUUAAAAUCCUGGAUUCGCCACUGUUGGCCACCCCAAAUAAAUCCCACAAACUUUGUUCCAUCCAUAUACAUAUGUGGAUGAAAAAAAAAGAAGCUCUUCAAAUAUUUUAGUUCACAAUACUUUUUAGUUGAUUUUUAGAUAUGACCCACUAAUGAACAUUUCCAAUACUAGUCUAUCAAAAAGUAAUUAAAUAAUUCAACAAUGAAUAAUAACUAUAGAAAAAUAAAGACCGUUCAAUGUAUGUGAUCGACAUCAUUUUCACAUGCGGUAGUUUAUCGAAGAAAAUAAAAAGAGAUUAAUCUUGGUAGAUACCGUGCGGUGAGUCUUAUCCAACUGCUCGACAUUGAUAUUUCAGUUUGAUUCACUUAUGUUGAUUGUUUUAUAUGUUGUCCUCAUGUCUACCAAUACUUAGUUUGUGGAGCUUAUUCUAUGUUAUCAUCAACAUUAAUGUGUAGAAUUUAAAUAUCUAAUUGUCUCAAUUAUAAAUGAAUUUAAUCAUCUUCCUAUCAUAACAAACAAUUUACAUACAUAUGUAUCACAAUUUUGAGUAAAAAAUGUUAAGGGAGAACCCGAAUAAUACGUAUAAUUAUUUUUUCAUAUUCAUAGUACAUGAAAAAAAAAGAACUUUUCUACUUGUACACGGGGGUGAGAAACAAGAAAUAGAUUUUGAAAUAGACAUAUAAUUAUUUGGCUAGCUACUAAAUAUUUUCUUUUAUUUCUAUUUUCGCCAUUAUAUAAUCUUAUUAAUGCUUAGAAAUAUUAUUUUUACUAUUUACCUCCAACUAAACUGUGAUAGAAGGUUUAGAUUCACAAUCAACCGAGCAUCUAACAAAAAACAAAGCAUAUUUAUAAAUUAUUAAUAUUCAGCAGUCAAAUUAACUAAUUAAACUAAAUUAAGGGUAAAAUAUAGAAAUAAUAAUGAAAUUGUUUAAAAUGUCCACUUUUCCCUGAUGAAUGUCUAGGCACAAGAUCUCUAGGCUACUGUUUAAAAUGUCUACCGAAUAAAAAUUAUUUUUGGUCAAUUAGUGGUGUAAUUACUUGAAUGAAUUAGAAUGGAAGAUUAGCCCCUAAGCUUUAUUCUUUAAAAUUCAUAUUUAAUCACACAUUUUUAAUAAACUAAAUAUACACGAAAUUCAAAAAAAUUUCAUACUUUAUAACCAUACAUUCGUCAAAAAAUGAAUUCUGAAAAAUGGGGUUGAACAAUGGCUUAAUAUAUAUGUACAAUGCUUCCUAAUCAUAUCUAGAAGAAUAAUGAUAUUCAUCAAUAGUGUUGAUGAGGCUAUUAUAACGAAUUUUUUUUCAUAAAUUAAAAUUUAUUCCAAUUUCAUAAGAAUACUUGACAUUUAUCCACGGUCACAUAGACUGUGAUAUUUAUGAAUCGUGCUUACAAAUAACAUUACUCUGCUAUUAAUUUCAGAAUCGCCAUAGGAUAUAAAAUUGCACAUACUUAUUGUACAUUCACUUCGGCAAUCUUGAAUUACAAUUUUAACUCUAACAGCAAUUAUUGACCCGUCAAUUUUAUUGGAAAUUUGGUGCUAUUUCCAUAUUCAAACAAAAUAUCUUAUAGGAAAAUAGAGAACAAUGACAAUAAGAAGAAUACAAAUGCUGAUGUAGAAAACUUUGAAGUUGGAAAAUAAUUUAGUAAUCAUAAGAAUAAAUAUUGCACUACAAUCACAUUUAAUGCAUCUUUAACUACAAGGUUGAACAUCUUUAAGAGACUAAAUAUAAUAUAUUAAUCUCUAUUUAGAGAGUUAAAGCAUAAAAAUAAGUUUUAACAUACUUUUUUUUCUUUUUUUCUUUUCAAUAAGCUAGUUUGAGCCACAUAAUAUUUUUAAGAAUGCAUUUUUGAAUAGUACAUUGAUGAAAAAUGUGUGGUUAAAAAAUAAAGAAAAGUUUUGAAUUUGCGGGUAAUAUUAUUUUAUUGAAGAAUGUGUGACUGAAAUGAUGUCAAAUCACUACUUAAAAAUGUAUUUUUUUGAAAAAAUGUGGCUCAAAUAUAGCCAUAUUUUAAUAUUCUACUUUUUAAAUUAUUCAAUUAUAUUUGAAUUGAUUGACCAUUGACAAUAUUUUACCUUCUAAAUUUAAAGAUGCUCUUUAUUAUACAUAUGAUGAUGUAUAUAAAAAAAAGUCUCUUGAAAAGGCAUAAAAUGUGGCAAGACAUGAAAUUCAAGCCUUAAGAAAAUAGAUGUAAUAAAAUAUUUUUUUUCUUACCAUGUACGUAGUGAAAAGCAACCUACUUUCUAAUAUUUUAUUGAAAAGGUUUUUUUAUUGUAAAAUUUCUUAAAUAUGCUCGUAUGAAACAUCAAUUUUCUUACAAAUAAAGAUGGAGAUAUAUAUAGAGAGAGGGAGAAGAAGUAAAUUUUUUUGAAUUAUGGAAGAAAAGUAGUUCAAUAUGAAAGCAUGUGUUCGUUCUUUAUCUCCACACCUAUGCUUAAAUAGCAAAAUUUCAUAGUUGUCUACCAAUCUACAAACAUUGGACUUAAUUUUAAAUAAUGGCUGUAUUUGUCAAUUGAAAAUUUUACUUUUCCAUUCUAAUUCAUUAUUUAAUGAAACCAAGUGUGCCCAUGUUCUUUGAUAAAAGAAUAUAGAACUGCUAACAUUUUUCGGAAGUGCAGGUAACUCGGGCACUGCAAGCAACCCUCCUUCAUGGCUUGAUGACUGUUCAGACAGUUUCUCAAACCUUCUCAAUUUUCGCUUUCGGAAGCAAGGUACCAUUGAAUUUGAUUGCUUAUACCAUAUAUAGCACGUAAUUUGAAAAGUUGGACUUCAAAAAAUAUUGACAAGUUCUCCUUGAUAGAAAAUAAGUCGUCAUUUGCUCCCACGGGCACGGGGCAAUGAUAAAAUAGGAGGAUUCUCCAAGGAGCAUCCCGCAGCUGGAAGACAACAUUUAUGUUGGAAGGCAGAUGUCCCAUGGAGGCAAAGUUAUAAUGGGCUUUGUCCUCCUUCUGGGGUUUUGUUCGCACGUCGUAAAGGGAGGUACACAGAGAGGAGAAUCGCAUCUUGAACAUCCGACUCAAGUGUGUAUGAGCUGUGACCGCAUCCGAAUUUACCCGGGUGGGGAAUUGGAAGAAGACCGCCACUCCUCAGGAUUAGUCGGGCCAAACUCAAGCACCCCAUAAAAAAAGUCGUCAUUUGGUCAAAUGGAUACUGUUUCUUUACCUCAAAUAUUUGGAGAAAUAGACCCCUCAAUAGAAUGAAUAUAAAUAAAAAAUUAGCCAGUCCACUAGAAAUUGGCAUAUAGAGAAAACGAUGUUGCUAUUAGGACUUUUUUUUUUUUCAGAACUCUCUUCUAUGCUUUAUUCUUUUUACUCUAUUUUGGUUCUUAGCACGUAGGUUGCACAACCAUUUUACAUAAAUAAUCAUUGUUUCUUUGUCAAGCUGCAGUUCAAAUAUUGUGUACUCAGGGUAUUGUGUUGGAUUUUUAAAAUUUCUAGGGAGGAAUGUGACUAGGUGAAAUUCAGUUUUGCACCUCAUUCUCUUCAUAGUGACCUUUUUCCAUCCUUGUUGGAAAUGAUUGCUCAUAUUCUUUCAAUUCUUCCUAUAAAAUUUGCAGUUUGAACCGUCAUUCUGUUCUAGGCGCAACAAUAUUUCGACGUUUAUUACCAAUCUCGAUUUUGAGGAAAAUGCUUUGAAUGCAAGAAAUUCUGCUUAUAUGAUAUAUCAUCAUUAAGUAGUUGUACAUCAAAACAGAUUGAUAGGUUCCGUUUAAGAAAAUAUGGUUGUACAUCAAAGUAUUUCCAUCAUUCCAUGGAUUAAAUUUACAGGUGUGGCCAUUUGUAGUUGUCAUAAAAAUAUGGAAGUUGCUAUAUUCUAUUGCAAAAUAACCAUGCUAUACAUAAUUCAAAAUCAGUAGCCAGUAGUUAUAUCCCAGUACAUAGAAACAGAAUUUCAUAUAUACUUCAACAAAUAUGAAGCAAAUGAAUAGAAUGUUUUGUACAAGGAAAGAAUCACUACUAUUAAAUUAAUAAUUUUACAGACAGCCAGUCAUGAUUAUGCUCGUCUUCUUGUGCAAAUCAUGGUCUUUAAGGAAUCCAACAUACAGGUUCGUCCUGCUCGUGUCACUCUCGGGAAGUGUCGCGUUUCGACCACCUUCUGACAUGUUCUUCACAAAUUCAUCGAACUUGCGGCAAUUCUCAGCUUCGAACAAUCGUUUAUUCAUUCUUAGAUACGUAAAUGCAGCGAGUCCAUUUCCAGAAUCUGAAUGGCUAGUUCCCAACAC
rnacentral:lncRNA from 1 species